AGAUCUCACUCCAGACCAUAUCUUAAACUCCUGGUACUUCUACAGGUAAACGUUUGCCUUUAUUAACCCUUCGCACAACUUUUAUCAGUUGCGGUACGCCGGGAAAACAACACAGGACGUCAGGAGGGGUCAGUGGCCGGUACGCGAAUAAAUUUAGCGUGGAAUUCUGGCUGAUCUUGAUGAAAAGGGGAAGUCUAAAAAUCGUUAUCAAUCUAAAACAGAGAAGAUUUUUACGUUUAACUGUGUAAAAAUGAACAAUCUCACUUUUUGUGGGGGUUAACGAAGGAGAAAAAAUGAUGGAUAGCAAUCUGAAGUAUUCGCUGUUGACUACCGUAAUUGUGCUCAGCCUCAUUGUUGCUGGCGCAAUGACUGCCGCUUUUAAUUGAU
rnacentral:sRNA from 1 species